rfam:Myotis brandtii contig257224, whole genome shotgun sequence.
GGCCUCCCUCUGUGGGGCCAUCAAUUACAGGGAUCUGCCAUCGAUGGCUCCACAGAGGGAGGCC